rnacentral:rRNA from 1 species
AAGAUUAAGCCAUGCAUGUCUAAGUACAUCCCAAAAACAAAGAGAAACCACGAAUGGCUCAUUAUAUCAGCUAUGAUUCCUUGAAGCUACACAYUAUCCAAUUUGGAUAACUGUGGCAAUUCUAGAGCUAAUACAUGCACUUAGUCUCUUGCCUGCUCGUGUGCAUACCUAGUUGUGUGCAUACACAGGCAAGGGCGCACUUAUUAGAAUCAUAACCGGCAUGUUCUGGCUCCGGCCAGAGAGCAAACUGCCAUUGUGAUGACUCUGGAUAACUAAGCUGAGCGCUCCUAGCGAGCGCCGCUUCUUUCAAGUGUCUGACCUAUCAGCUAUAUUGUAGGGUAACGGCCUACAAUGGCUAUAACGGGUAACGGGGAAUCAGGGUUCGAUUCCGGAGAGGGAGCCUGAGAAACGGCUACCACAUCCAAGGAAGGCAGCAGGCACGCAAAUUACCCACUCCUGGCACGGGGAGGUAGUGACGAAAAAUAACAAUGCGAGGCUCGAAAGAGCGCUUGCAAUUGUAAUGAGUACACUUUAAAUCCUUUUGCAAGUACCAAUUGGAGGGCAAGUCUGGUGCCAGCAGCUGCGGUAAUUCCAGCUCCAAUGGCACAUAUCAGAGUUGUUGCGGUUAAAAAGCUCGUAGUUGGACUAUCACUUUGCUGGGUUGACCUUCCGUUUGGUGUAGCCUCCUCGACAUGCUGGUGAGUUAUUUUCCCAGCGACAGUGUUGAGGUAGGGCAUGAGCCAUCGGAGUCAAAAAAAAGCCUAGCAUAACCGCUGGAACCAACCCUUUAACGAGUGUGUUGGUUCCAUACUGUUGGCUCACACGGGAUGCUCUUAACUGAGUGUGUCGAGUGGCUAACAUGUUUACUUUGAAUAAAUUAGAGUGCUCAGAGCAGGCAAUAUAUAGCCUGAAUGGUGGUGCAUGGAAUAAUAAAAAAAGACCUCGGUCCUAUUGUUGUCCUAUGGGUGUGGUAUUGAGUUGAGAGAGAGAGAUAACGAUUACCAAGGAGUCGUCUAUCUCAUGCCGGUUCUGAUAGAGCCGGAGGUAAUGAUUAAAAGGGAUAUAUGGGGGCAUUUGUACUGCGGCGCGAGAGGUGAAAUUCUAUGACCGUCGCAAGACAGCCCAAAGCGAAAGCAUUUGCCAAGGAUGUUUUCUUUAAUCAGGAACGAAAGUUAGAGGUUCGAAGGCGAUCAGAUACCGCCCUAGUUCUAACCAUAAACUAUGCUAACCAGCAAUCUGUCGCCGGUCUCACCAGACCAGACAGGCAUCUUCCGGGAAACCAAAGUCUUUGAGUUCCGGGGGGAGUAUGGUUGCAAAGCUGAAACUUAAAGGAAUUGACGGAAAGGCACCACCAGGAGUGGAGCCUGCGGCUUAAUUUGACUCAACACGGGAAACCUCACCAGGUCCGGACACUAUAAGGAUUGACAGAAUGAAAGCUCUUUCUCGAUUUAGUGGGUGGUGGUGCAUGGCCGUUCUUAGUUGGU